AUCCCGGAUUCCACCGAAAUGGCCAUUUUCAACCAAUCAGAAAGUCUGCGGAAUUUCCCUUUCUGUGUAACCAUCCGCCACUCCAGAUGAGCAAGAAAUAGUCUUCCCUUGGGCUUACUAUAAUGUUCUUAAUCUUACGCUGGGUAAAAAGGACUGCUACCAUUUAUAAGUCACAAUAUAAACUAUAAAUGAUUGGCGAUACAGUAUGGUAGAGUUUUUACCAAUAACAGGAAAUAUGACGACAAUGUUUACAAGUGAAUGUGGCGCCGACAGUCAAACAAAAUGUGUCAGUUUUUCAAAGUAAAUACUUGUGAGAUUCCUGAAUAACUGAAUAUUCUGCAUCUUAUUUAGUGUAAUCCCAAUAAGGUGGCUGUAAAGUACAGAUGUUACUCUGCUACAGCUCUUACUAAUGCUUAUCAGGCUGUGAGGGAGGAAAACAUGUCUGUUAGAAGGGCAUCAAUUCAGUUCAAUGUACCCAUGCAGACGCUCCGAGACAGGGUAUUGCAUAAGGUAGACCCCGAGACAGUCCGGUCAGGACCUCAGCCAUUGUUCAGUGAAGAGGAAGAGGCAUUAUUUGUAAACAAUUUGAAGUACAUGGCGUCACUAGGUUAUGGUUAUACAGGUCCAGAAGUCAUUGCUAAAGCUUCAAAUUACGCAGUGCACCUGAGGAAGAGAUCUAAAGACCAGCCUCUAUCAGAAAAAUGGUACAGUAGACUUAAAUCGAGAUGGCCAGAAUUAAAAACUUUAAGUCUAAGAGCACUGGCAAAGGAACGAGCUCAAGCAACAUCUGAACAUGUUGUUAAUCAUACUUUGAAAAUAUUCACACUGUACUUUUGGCCAAUGAUCUUCUUGACAAACCAGAAUGCAUAUACAACUUUGACGAGAAGGGAGUCCAAACUGAACAUCGUCCGCCGAAGGUUGUUGCAGAAGGUGUACAUGCAGUACCAGCGAUCACUUCACCAAGAUCUUCAAUUACUACUAUCUUAGGUUGUGGGAAUGCACUUGGAACUCAACAUGCACCAUAUUUUAUCUUUAAAGGACAGUGCAUGAGUAAUGAGCUGUGUAACUGACAGUGGCUGGUCCAAUUCAGAGACACUUUCUUGAAAUACUUGAAUGAUCAUUUUCUUAAUUUUGUUCAAAGGCCGGAUGAAAGCCAGCCUAUUUUACUAAUUUUUGAUGGGCACAUGUCCCAUAUUAACAUUCCAGCCAUAGAAUGGGCCAAGCAACACAAUGUCAUACUAUUUGUACUUCCAGCUCAUACUAGUCACUGUAUUAUUACAACCUCUAGAUGUAGGGUGCUUUGGACCACUGCAGCGUGUGUAUAACUCAGUGUCACAAAUUCUUACGAACAAGUCCAGGAUCUAGAAUUACUCGGUACAAUGUUUGUAAGUUAGCAUGUUCAGCAUAUGCAGCUGGAUUAUCUGCAAGUAACUUGAGAUCUGCAUUUCAGAAAACAGAUAUUUAUCCGUUUCAACCAGCUGCAAUCUCUAAAGAUGCAUUAGCUCCUGCAGAUGCUUAUCACCUCACACCUAUGGCACAAAAUCCUGUCUGUUCUCAAAAGCCUUCUGGUGAUCCAGAGGACAUUUUUUUCUCCUGACCAUGAAGUUGAUUGCUAAGAAGCAGGAAUUUGAGAGUAAAAAGGAACAUAAAAAUACUGUUAGCAAAAUAGUUUCUGAUAAAUGUAUUACUAAUCCAAUUGUUGAGAAAAAAAUCAUUGAAUUCUCUGAGGGUCAGAAAAAGAGGAAAAUUGAGUCAUCAAAAACAGGUAAACUGUCUGAAAAUAAAAAGGUAUCAAAAUCAUUUAAACCUAAAAAUGUUCAGAAGAAACUCUCUGGAUUCGAACCUCAGUCCGGUCCUUCAAAAGUCGUUGUAUAUUCUUCUGACUCUUCUGACUUUUCAGACACUGAAAUAGUGUUGUGUAUGUAAUAAAUUUGAGCCUGAGUAACUCAGAAAUAUUGUGUCACUGGUUUUUGUUAAAUUGGCCAAGUGUGACAUUACUGGAUGUGAUCACUGGACCCACUUGAAAUUCUGCUGUCCUCAAAAGGUUGUCAGGUACAAUGACAGUUUCGAAUGUCCAUGUUACCAAAGACAUUCUGAACUGACUGAAGAGUAAAUUGGAAAUGUCAUAAAAAAUAUGAAACCAAAUGAAAAUAUUGUAAAAACCUUGUUUUUGUGGGUUUUUUUUCUGUUUUUAUAUUUGCAGAAAUAUUAACCUGUACUCUGAUUAUGUUUCAACUCUGUUGGAAUAGAUAUUUUGAACUGCUGUAUACUUUUAAAACAAUACAAUGUCAAGUUCACGAAAUUGGUGGGUUUCCAAAAUGGCGGACUUUUUGUACAUGUUGUAUUUGUAGGGGAUUGUGCAUCAUUUAAAGGAAGUUUUCAAUUUUUAUAGUUUAUAUAUUGUCUGCUGGGAUAUAGAUUAAAAGGUAUGUAGGCCUACA
rnacentral:misc_RNA from 1 species